AAGGUCCAACCUCAUAUGUCC
rnacentral:miRNA from 1 species